GCCCUGUGGUUGCUGGAUGCUGUUGUGUAUGUGCAGCUCUCCAGUGGAUACGAUGGGCCAUAGCAAUCCUGUGAUUUAUGCAUGGAGGCCGCUUCUCCUCAGCAGCCGCCAUAGCCCGGUCACUGGAACAUGG
ensembl:snoRNA SNORA84 small nucleolar RNA, H/ACA box 84